rnacentral:rRNA from 1 species
UGGCUUAGAACGAACGCUGGCGGCGUGCUUAACACAUGCAAGUCGAACGCGAAAGGGACUUCGGUCCUGAGUAAAGUGGCGCACGGGUGAGUAACGCGUAGAUAACCUGUCUUCAUGUCUGGAAUAAUACGCCGAAAGGGGUACUAAUACCGGAUAUUCUUGCUUUUCAUAAGUUAUGCAAGCAAAGGUGGCCUCUGCAUAUGCUACUGCAUGAAGAGGGGUCUGCGUACCAUUAGCUAGUAGGUGGGGUAAUGGCCUACCUAGGCGACGAUGGUUAGCGGGUCUGAGAGGAUGAUCCGCCACACUGGCACUGGAACACGGGCCAGACUCCUACGGGAGGCAGCAGUGAGGAAUAUUGCGCAAUGGGGGAAACCCUGACGCAGCGACGCCGCGUGAGUGAAGGAAGGCCUUCGGGUCGUAAAGCUCUGUCAAGAGGAAAGAAGUGUACAAUGGCUAAUACCUGUUGUAUUUGACGGUACCUCUAAAGGAAGCACCGACUAACUCCGUGCCAGCCGCUGC